UUUAAAAAAAUAAAUAUAAAAAAUUCACAAUAUAAUUUUAAAAAUAUACGAAUUCAAGAAAUAUAUAUUCAAUAAAUUCAAUAUGCAAUAAAUUUGUAUCCUAUAAGAUGUAGUUUAUAUUUUGUAUACAUCAGUAUUAGAAAAUCGAUGAAUGCUAAUGAUAAAUAAAAUAAAAAUUAAAAAAUAAAUAAUUUGAGAAAAACAAAAUUCACAAACCAAACACUUAAUAUGAGGACGAGAAGUAAGUUCAAUUCAUUUAAUCAA
rnacentral:lncRNA from 1 species